UUAAAUGAAAUCGAUUAAUCUUUAAAAGUAACUGCUUUUAUUAUUUAAGAAAACAUGAUUUUGAUUUUUAAAUUUCAAUUUCAAAAUGAUCAUCAUAAAAUUUUAAUUCUCUUUUGCUGAAUAAAUAAGAGUAGAAAUAAUUGGAUAAAGCUCAAAUUUAUUUAAUAGAAUGGUAGUCUGUAAAUGACAAGACUCCAUAGAUCUUUACAAAAUUUGAAAAAUGGUAAUUUACAUGGAAAAGGGCUACAUUGA
rnacentral:lncRNA from 1 species